rnacentral:tRNA from 1 species
GCGGAAGUACCGAAAAUAAAGGAAACGCAACCUGACUUUUAAUCAGGUUGUCGGGGGUUCGAAUCCCCCGUGUCUCACUA